GGCAGUGGUAGCUCAGUGGUUAAGAUGUUGGGCUACUGAUGAGAAGGUUCUGAGUUCAAACACCAGCAAUGCCA